rnacentral:rRNA from 1 species
GACGAACGCUGGCGGCGUGCUUAACACAUGCAAGUCGAACGGAAAGGCCCUGCUUUUGUGGGGGGCUCGAGUGGCGAACGGGUGAGUAACACGUGAGUAACCUGCCCUUGACUUUGGGAUAACUUCAGGAAACUGGGGCUAAUACCGGAUAGGAGCUCCUGCUGCAUGGUGGGGGUUGGAAAGUUUCGGCGGUUGGGGAUGGACUCGCGGCUUAUCAGCUUGUUGGUGGGGUAGUGGCUUACCAAGGCUUUGACGGGUAGCCGGCCUGAGAGGGUGACCGGCCACAUUGGGACUGAGAUACGGCCCAGACUCAUACGGGAGGCAGCAGUGGGGAAUAUUGCACAAUGGGCGGAAGCCUGAUGCAGCAACGCCGCGUGCGGGAUGACGGCCUUCGGGUUGUAAACCGCUUUCGCCUGUGACGAAGCGUGAGUGACGGUAAUGGGUAAAGAAGCACCGGCUAACUACGUG